rnacentral:lncRNA from 1 species
AAAGCAAGCUAUGGGAAAGCAGUGGAACCCCAAACAAUACACCUAAAAUAAAACAAAAAUAUAAAUGCAUCACAUACAAAAACAUAAAGCAAAGUGGGACCAAAAGCUCAGAUAAUAUCAAACCAACCUUCAACACUAAAGCUUAAUUAUACCUCAACAUAGGAACAUCAGGGACCACAUGUACUAAAAUAAUUAUACCUCAACACUAAAGUUUUUCAAAACAACUAAAAAAGGAAUAAAAUAAUGCAAAACCACAAAACCCAAAGGAAUUUCUUCAACCACAGAAACAUCAGGGACCACAUGUACUAAAUUAACAUUUCAACACUACAGCUUAUAAUUAUACCUCAGC